GAUGAACGCUAGCGAUAGGCCUAACACAUGCAAGUCGAGGGGCAUCACAUGAAGUAGCAAUACGGAUGGUGGCGACCGGCGCACGGGUGAGUAACACGUAUGCAACCUGCCUUCAACAAGGGGAUAACCCGUUGAAAGACGGACUAAUACCCUAUAACACAGGGGUCCCGCAUGGGGAUAUUUGUUAAAGAUUGAUCGGUUGAAGAUGGGCAUGCGUUCCAUUAGCUGGUUGGUGAGGUAACGGCUCACCAAGGCAACGAUGGAUAGGGGAACUGAGAGGUUUAUCCCCCACACUGGUACUGAGACACGGACCAGACUCCUACGGGAGGCAGCAGUGAGGAAUAUUGGUCAAUGGACGCAAGUCUGAACCAGCCACGUCGCGUGAAGGAAGACGGCCCUACGGGUUGUAAACUUCUUUUAUACGGGAAUAAAGUGCCCCACGCGUGGGGUUUUGCAUGUACCGUAUGAAUAAGGAUCGGCUAACUCCGUGCCAGCAGCCG
rnacentral:rRNA from 1 species